AGCGUUGUCCGGAAUUACUGGGCGUAAAGGGUGCGUAGGUGGUUUCUUAAGUCAGAGGUGAAAGGCUACGGCUCAACCGUAGUAAGCCUUUGAAACUGGGAAACUUGAGUGCAGGAGAGGAGAGUGGAAUUCCUAGUGUAGCGGUGAAAUGCGUAGAGAUUAGGAAGAACACCAGUGGCGAAGGCGCUUCUCUGGACUGUAACUGACACUGAGGCUCGAAAGUGUGGGUAUC
rnacentral:rRNA from 1 species